rnacentral:rRNA from 1 species
CACGUAGGGGGCAAGCGUUGUCCGGAUUUAUUGGGCGUAAAGAGCUCGUAGGCGGCUUAGUAAGUCGGGUGUGAAACCUCCAGGCUCAACCUGGAGACGCCACCCGAUACUGCUGUGGCUAGAGUCCGGUAGGGGAGCGUGGAAUUCCUGGUGUAGCGGUGAAAUGCGCAGAUAUCAGGAGGAACACCGAUGGCGAAGGCAGUGUUCUGGGCCAGUACUGACGCUGAGGAGCGAAAGCGUGGGGAGCAAACAGG